UACGGGGGGAGCAAGCGUUGUUCGGAUUUACUGGGCGUAAAGGGCGCGUAGGCGGCGCCGCAAGUCGACUGUGAAAUCUCCGGGCUUAACCCGGAAAGGUCAGCCGAUACUGCGGGGCUAGAGUGCAGAAGGGGCAACUGGAAUUCUCGGUGUAGCGGUGAAAUGCGUAGAUAUCGAGAGGAACACCUGAGGUGAAGACGGGUUGCUGGGCCAACACUGACGCUGAUGCGCGAAAGCCAGGGGAGCAAACGGG
rnacentral:rRNA from 1 species